ACCUGAUGGUGUGGGCAUUUACAUAAGAGGUCCCUAAAAUACUCUCAUGUCUUAAAAAAUAGUUCCCCAUCCACUUGUGAGAAACAAGUGUUUUCUUUCCUAAGUU